UACAGAGGGUGCAAGCGUUGUCCGGAUUUAUUGGGUUUAAAGGGUGCGUAGGUGGUCUAUUAAGUCAGUGCUGAAAUAUCCCGGCUUAACCGGGAGGGUGGCAUUGAUACUGAUGGACUUGAGUAAAGUUGAGGUGGGCGGAAUUGACGGUGUAGCGGUGAAAUGCUUAGAUAUCGUCAAGAACACCUAUUGCGAAGGCAGCUCACUAAGCUUUAACUGACACUGAGGCACGAAAGUGUGGGGAUCAAACAGG
rnacentral:rRNA from 1 species